CCUAACACAUGCAAGUCGAGCGAAGCGCUGUUUUCAGAAUCUUCGGAGGAAGAGGACAGUGACUGAGCGGCGGACGGGUGAGUAACGCGUGGGCAACCUGCCUCAUACAGGGGGAUAACAGUUAGAAAUGACUGCUAAUACCGCAUAAGCGCACAGGACCGCAUGGUGUAGUGUGAAAAACUCCGGUGGUAUGAGAUGGACCCGCGUCUGAUUAGGUAGUUGGUGGGGUAAAGGCCUACCAAGCCGACGAUCAGUAGCCGACCUGAGAGGGUGACCGGCCACAUUGGGACUGAGACACGGCCCAAACUCCUACGGGAGGCAGCAGUGGGGAAUAUUGCACAAUGGGGGAAACCCUGAUGCAGCGACGCCGCGUGAAGGAAGAAGUAUUUCGGUAUGUAAACUUCUAUCAGCAGGGAAGAAGAUGACGGUACCUGAGUAAGAAGCACCGGCUAAAUACGUGCCAGCAGCCGCGGUAAUACGUAUGGUGCAAGCGUUAUCCGGAUUUACUGGGUGUAAAGGGAGCGUAGACGGAUAGGCAAGUCUGGAGUGAAAACCCGGGGCUCAACCCUGGGACUGCUUUGGAAACUGCAGAUCUGGAGUGCCGGAGAGGUAAGCGGAAUUCCUAGUGUAGCGGUGAAAUGCGUAGAUAUUAGGAGGAACACCAGUGGCGAAGG
rnacentral:rRNA from 1 species